UACGGGGGGGGGCAAGCGUUGUUCGGAAUUACUGGGCGUAAAGGGCUCGUAGGCGGCCAACUAAGUCAGACGUGAAAUCCCUCGGCUUAACCGGGGAACUGCGUCUGAUACUGGAUGGCUAGAGUUUGGGAGAGGGAUGCGGAAUUCCAGGUGUAGCGGUGAAAUGCGUAGAUAUCUGGAGGAACACCGGUGGCGAAGGCGGCAUCCUGGACCAACACUGACGCUGAGGAGCGAAAGCCAGGGGAGCAAACGGG
rnacentral:rRNA from 1 species